GUUUUAAUAAUUUAAUUAAAAUAUUAAUUUUGUAAAUUAAAAUUAGGAAACUUUCCUUUAAAACA
rnacentral:tRNA from 1 species